GAGUUUGAUCGUGGCUCAGGAUGAACGCUGGCGGCGUGCCUAAUACAUGCAAGUCGAACGAACAGAUAAGGAGCUUGCUCCUUUGACGUUAGCGGCGGACGGGUGAGUAACACGUGGGUAACCUACCUAUAAGACUGGAAUAACUCCGGGAAACCGGGGCGUAAUGCCGGAUAACAUGUUGAACCGCAUGGUUCUACAGUGAAAGACGGUCUUGCUGUCACUUAUAGAUGGACCCGCGCCGUAUUAGCUAGUUGGUGGGGUAACGGCCUACCAAGGCGACGGAUACGUAGCGACCUGAGAGGGUGAUCGGCCACACUGGAACUGAGACACGGUCCAGGACUCCUACGGGAGGCAGCAGUAGGGAAGUCUUCCGCAAUGGGCGAAAGCCUGACGGAGCAACGCCGCGUGAGUGAUGAAGGUCUUCGGAUCGUAAAGC
rnacentral:rRNA from 1 species